CACACUCACACCACACACACACAUACACACACACACAGAGUGAUCUUAGCACUAACAUUGCACACUUUGACAAUGAUUAGACACAACUUUUCCAUUGUGGACUAUUUUCCGCAUCUUUAAAGGUGAAUGGUCUUUGCAGUCCUAGCUUUGAGAGUAUCAAGCAGCUUUUGCAAAUCAAUCUAUCCCGUUUCUAGGUAACCUCUGUUGUCGUUUUUCCAAAAACUCACCCAUUCCUGCCCUUGAAAUCCUCCUCUCUAAAUGAAAACGGUCUCAACCCUGAGAUUAUGAUGUUGCGACUGAAUGAUUCCAUUCAGAGAAAAGCUGUCUCGCUACUUAACUGUGAUCUGACUGCCCAGGAGCAGCCAGCCAGCUGGGACCCAGAAGCCACUCCUGUGGCUUUGCCAGGCUGGGCUUCAAUGUGCCACUGCUGGGAGGCAAUGCUCUGCGGCCUGGAGUGAUUAGGAAAACCACAUGUUUAUACCCAUCAACAUUUCAUUAGCUCUGAAAGCCUUUGACAGGUGUCUUGGUGGACAUGUUGAAACACGCCAGUGACAGGUCCAGCCUGGGUCGUAAGAACUUCAAAAGGGACUGGAAUCCUGAGACCAGCAGACAUGCUUCCUUAUCCUUGUGGCCUGGCAUCCAGAGGUACCUGACAACUGCUGGAUCAGUGACUGGAUGGGCCUGGCCCUGAGGUGAGAAGUUCUGCUGUCAUGUGAUCCCACCAUGGUACGCCAGGCAGGCUCUCCACCAUUGACUCACAGCCUGAACCCAUCUCUAGAGCUCUGGACAGCCAGCAUUUGGCUGCCCAGCUCUUCUCUUUGCUAUGGAACUGCCAUAGUCUUGCUUGGUAGGAGCUGUACCAGCAUGGUUCCUGCAGUGAACAACCAAGAAAGUUAGUGUUGGGAAAAAAUUCCCAACCAGGAAGGAUACCUCUGAAUACCUGCAGCUGAUGCCUCCUGGAGACUUUAGAAGAUUCCCUAGGAAAAGGGGGCAGGUAUUUACAAUUGACUUUGAAAUGUAUAAGAAGUAAAGCCACACCGAGGGGUAGAGAAGCACAGAUCUGUGAGAAAACAAGAUGUUGCAAAACGCUAACAGUAGAAUGUAGUUGACAGGCACACAGUGCUCACUGUAAAAAUGCUUCUAGCUCUGCUGGAAGUUUGAAAUUUCUCAUUAUUAAAAAAAAAAACGCUAACCAUCAAAACACAUUCCCCAGGUGAUUCUGGGGAUGGGCCUGUUUGGGAGCUUCUAGAGGAGAUAAGCAAGAAGAAGCCAUUUGCUGAGAUCCUCCAGGGGCUGCCUGGGGGCUGUGCUGAUCUUUCUUUUCAUAUUUACAGCAUAAUAUGCUGAGAUAAUGGCUCCAUGGUGAAUGAGUAAUUGUUAUGACCGCCAAUAAAGUCCUCAUCGCCUUAUUAAAUGCUGGGCCAUUCCUCUCACAGCAGAGGGAGGAACUGCUGGUGUUCCCUGUCAAGCUGGCGGGAAGGUUCCAAGAUGUGCCUGAGAGUUCCUGCAUGCCACCUAGAAGAAAGUCUCCAUUUCAGCCCUUUUGGCUUUCUGUGUUACCUAAUAAACGUCUGCUUCGUUUGU